rnacentral:rRNA from 1 species
AUUGAGCGCUGGCGGAAUGCUUUACACAUGCAAGUCGAACGGCAGCACGGGGGCAACCCUGGUGGCGAGUGGCGAACGGGUGAGUAAUACAUCGGAACGUGCCUAGUCGUGGGGGAUAACGUAGCGAAAGUUACGCUAAUACCGCAUACGAUCUACGGAUGAAAGCGGGGGACCGUAAGGCCUCGCGCGAUUGGAGCGGCCGAUGUCAGAUUAGGUAGUUGGUGAGGUAAAGGCUCACCAAGCCGACGAUCUGUAGCUGGUCUGAGAGGACGACCAGCCACACUGGGACUGUGACACGGCCCAGACUCCUACGGGAGGCAGCAGUGAGGAAUUUUGGACAAUGGGCGCAAGCCUGAUCCAGCCAUUCCGCGUGCAGGACGAAGGCCUUCGGGUUGUAAACUGCUUUUGUACGGAACGAAAAGGCUCUGGUUAAUACCUGGGGCUCAUGACGGUACCGUAAGAAUAAGCACCGGCUAACUACGUGCCAGCCGCCGCCGUAA